rnacentral:rRNA from 1 species
AACGAACGCUGGCGGCAUGCCUAACACAUGCAAGUCGAACGAGACCUUCGGGUCUAGUGGCGCACGGGUGCGUAACGCGUGGGAACCUGCCCUUAGGUUCGGAAUAACUCCCCGAAAGGGGUGCUAAUACCGGAUAAUGUCUUCGGACCAAAGAUUUAUCGCCUUUGGAUGGGCCCGCGUUGGAUUAGCUAGUUGGUAGGGUAAAAGCCUACCAAGGCGACGAUCCAUAGCUGGUCUGAGAGGAUGAUCAGCCACACUGGGACUGAGACACGGCCCAGACUCCUACGGGAGGCAGCAGUGGGGAAUAUUGGACAAUGGGCGAAAGCCUGAUCCAGCAAUGCCGCGUGAGUGAUGAAGGCCUUAGGGUUGUAAAGCUCUUUUACCCGGGAUGAUAAUGACAGUACCGGGAGAAUAAGCUCCAGCUAACUCCGUG